rnacentral:rRNA from 1 species
CCUACGGGAGGCAGCAGUGAGGAAUAUUGCACAAUGGAGGAAACUCUGAUGCAGCCAUGCCGCGUGCAGGAUGACGGCCCUACGGGUUGUAAACUGCUUUUUUACAAGAAGAAACAUUGGUACGUGUACCAACUUGACGGUAUUGUAAGAAUAAGCACCGGCUAACUCCGUGCCAGCAGCCGCGGUAAUACGGAGGGUGCAAGCGUUAUCCGGAUUUAUUAGGUUUAAAGGGUUCGCAGGCGGAAUUUUAAGUCAGUGGUGAAAGCCUAUAGCUCAACUAUAGAACUGCCAUUGAUACUGAUAUUCUUGAGUAUAGAUGAAGUGGGCGGAAUAUGUCAUGUAGCGGUGAAAUGCAUAGAUAUGACAUGGAACACCAAUUGCGAAGGCAGCUCACUAAACUAUUACUGACGCUCAUGAACGAAAGCGUGGGGAGCGAACAG